rnacentral:rRNA from 1 species
AAUGAACGCUGGCGGCGCGCCUAAUACAUGCAAGUCGAGCGAGAAGACGUAGCAAUACGUUUGUAAAGCGGCGAACGGGUGAGGAAUACAUGGGUAACCUACCCUCGAGUGGGGAAUAACUAGCCGAAAGGUUAGCUAAUACCGCGUACGCUCCUUGGACUUCGGUUCAGGGAGGAAAGCGAUACCGUGGGUAUCGCGCGUCUUGGAUGGGCUCAUGUCCUAUCAGCUUGUUGGUGAGGUAACGGCUCACCAAGGCUUCGACGGGUAGCUGGUCUGAGAGGACGAUCAGCCACACUGGCACUGCGACACGGGCCAGACUCCUACGGGAGGCAGCAGUAAGGAAUAUUGCG